GUCUGCAUGGUGUAGUGGCUUAAGUGUUAGGACUAUGACUCUGAAGAACAGGGUUCAAAUCCCCAUUUAGCCA